GACGAACGCUGGCGGCGUGCUUAACACAUGCAAGUCGAACGGAAAGGCCCUGCUUGCAGGGUACUCGAGUGGCGAACGGGUGAGUAACACGUGGGUGAUCUGCCCUACACUUCGGGAUAAGCCUGGGAAACUGGGUCUAAUACCGGAUAUGACCUUCCAUGUAGUGUGGGGGGUGGAAAGAUUUAUCGGUGUGGGAUGAGCCCGCGGCCUAUCAGCUUGUUGGUGGGGUAAUGGCCUACCAAGGCGUCGACGGGUAGCCGGCCUGAGAGGGUGGACGGCCACAUUGGGACUGAGAUACGGCCCAGACUCCUACGGGAGGCAGCAGUGGGGAAUAUUGCACAAUGGGCGGAAGCCUGAUGCAGCGACGCCGCGUGGGGGAUGACGGCCUUCGGGUUGUAAACCUCUUUCGACAGGGACGAAGCUUCGGUGACGGUACCUGUAGAAGAAGCACCGGCUAACUACGUG
rnacentral:rRNA from 1 species